UGAGGAAUAUUGGUCAAUGGACGCAAGUCUGAACCAGCCAAGUAGCGUGCAGGAUGACGGCCCUAUGGGUUGUAAACUGCUUUUAUAUGGGGAUAAAGUGGGGAACGUGUUCCCUUUUGCAGGUACCAUAUGAAUAAGGACCGGCUAAUUCCGUGCCAGCAGCCGCGGUAAUACGGAAGGUUCGGGCGUUAUCCGGAUUUAUUGGGUUUAAAGGGAGCGUAGGCCGUUUGGUAAGCGUGUUGUGAAAUGUAGGAGCUCAACUUCUAGAUUGCAGCGCGAACUGUCAGACUUGAGUGCGCACAACGUAGGCGGAAUUCAUGGUGUAGUGGUGAAAUGCUUAGAUAUCAUGACGAACUCCGAUUGCGCAGGCAGCUUACUGUAGCAUAACUGACGCUGAUGCUCGAAAGUGCGGGUAUCAAACAGG
rnacentral:rRNA from 1 species